CCGCGAGUGGAAGUGCGAUUGUGCGAGGAUCAGGCGCGUGAGAAACGAACCCCGACCUUGUGUUGGCGCGUGAGGGCGCGUGAGCAGGUCUAAUAGAAAGGAAUUGUGUUGAAAUACUAUUAAACGUACAUUCAAGGGGGAAAAUGAGUUCGAAACCAAAUUUAGAUGAUGCAGGCCAACCGAGGACGAGACCAGCG